AAGAUUACUUUUAGGAGAUGCUUUGACCAGGAGCUUAUGAACUUGUGGCAUGAGCUUCUGGAGAUUGCUAAGUCUAUCCUGUACACUGAUGUAGAUGACUCCUUGGUUUGGAAUAUGAAUUCCAAAGGAGUAUACACAGUCAAGUCUUUUUACAAAUUUGUUAAUUUUAGGGGGGUGUUACCAGUCAGUACUCCUGCUGUCUGGGCUGUAAAAAUACCUCCUAGGAUCCAGAUUUUCCUGUGGCUCCUAGCUAAUAAUAAGCUACUCACUAGAGAUAACUUAGGAAAAAGGCAGACUGUUCCUGAUGCAACCUGUGUCUUCUGCUCUGAGCUGGAAUCCUGCUAUCACCUGUUUUUUGGUUGUGUCAUUGCUGUAGAAUUCUGGAAAGCUGUAUCCAGGCUGACUGGAUAUGAAGGGGAAACUAAUAUGAUGUCCUUUUCUUCCUAUUGGUCUCUUGGAGACAGAUUUGCUGCGAUUCAUAUCGUUCAUGCAGCUGGUCUGUGGGCUAUUUGGAAGACCCGAAAUGACAUGAUUUUCAAUUUUGUUUCUUGGCCUGGUAUGCAGGCUAUCUGGCGAAAAACUGCGCUGAAUCUGUCUUCGUGGAGUUGUCUAGCCUCAAGCCAUGUCAAGGACAGGGUGGAUUGGUGUUCAAAAAAAACUAGAGCUGUUGGCAAGAAGCCCUCCUCUUCUGAUGUGGCCAGAUCCUGGCUGAAGUGUGAAGGCGCUUACUAA
rnacentral:rRNA from 1 species